rnacentral:rRNA from 1 species
UACGAAGGGGCUAGCGUUGUUCGGAAUUACUGGGCGUAAAGCGCACGUAGGCGGCUUUGUAAGUUAGAGGUGAAAGCCCGGGGCUCAACUCCGGAAUUGCCUUUAAGACUGCAUCGCUAGAAUUGUGGAGAGGUAAGUGGAAUUCCGAGUGUAGAGGUGAAAUUCGUAGAUAUUCGGAAGAACACCAGUGGCGAAGGCGGUUCUCUGGGCCUUACCUGACGCUGAGGAGCGAAAGCGUGGGGAGGCGAACAGG